GAUGACUGUGUUCUAUGCAGAGUCUAUAGAACAGACGAAAGGAUCUACAAAAGAUCACGGCAUGCGUCUAGGCUUGAUGAAUCAGGCCCAUCAGGCUCUAAGAUUCCGAGACUUGACCUUAACCCUAAUCCUAAUGGGGUCAAUAAUCCAUAUGAGGAGCAGUACUAUUAUAAUAGCAUCCAGAUGCCUCUCCAAGCCCAACAGCAACAACCUAGAACUGAAAUAUUCCAAGCCCCUCAAGAACCAGAUCAUUUUGCUCUGCAAAGCAACACCCAAUACCCCAUCCUGGACCCUAGUGUCUUGAUGCCACUGCCCACUCCUCAUCAGUCUAUACACUAUAUUGGGAACGAAUUUGGAGGUCAGGGUCUAGAUAACUUUGAUAUAAUGAAUGGCGCCAUUGGCAACAGCAGCUUUGAUGCAGGGAAUAGUAAUGAUUUUGGCAACGUCCCUGGGUUCGAUUCAACUGAUUAUGUAUAUCCGAUGAUUGAUUAUGGCAACGAUGCUGCACCGAUGCCUUCAAACAUGAAUGGCAACUACGGCCGGCAGCUAUAGUAGUAGUUAUAUAUGCUGGGUUUUCUGGACAUAGUAGUGUUGUUAUUAUUACAUGUUGGUAGAAUAUUGCAUUUCAUGUCAUUCAUGUAAUCGAAAUUUUUGUAAUAGGAGUAAAUACAUAUAUACAAGUUUGAACCCCCAACACUGGGUUUUUUCCUUUCUUUUUUUUUCGGUUGAAUGUCAUUAAACUUUAUAACUUGUUCAGAGUAACUAACAAACAAUUAAUGACUUAAUGAAAAGAAAAAUAGAGAGAUGGAAAACAUCACCAAAUAUUUAUGAAUAGUUAAGAAAAUUUUAAAUCAUCAAAUAGUCUUUUAGUUUAAAAUUUUGACAGUUUUCUCUACAUGUAUGUAUAUGGCACAAAUGGAGGUCCUAGAUUAUACAUUUGUUACAUUUCUAACAAAUGUAAAUUCCAUUAUUAUUAUUAUUAAUAAAAAUAACCAACUUUAUUUAAGAAUCCACUAUAUGAACGGUCCAAAUGAAUUUUGAAUGUAUAUAAAAUAAUGCUUAAUAGGGAAGUUAUUGUAUUUAAUGAAAUUAAUAAAUAAGUGCUUUAGUGAUCUUGUUAUAAAACACCAAUGUUCUUCAUUAAAAUUAAUAAAAAAAAAUUACAGAGUUGAUGGAUGACGUGGAAAUAUAACAAGAAUCUGUUAAUUAGUAACUAAGUAGGUAACCUUCUCAAUCUGCAGUAUAAUUAUACCAAUCAUAUUCACAACUGCUUCUCCAAGAAAAACAACCUACUCUCCCUCUCUCAUAUUCUCUUGAUCGCUUUGACAUUCAACGUUUUGUUCUUCUUCUUCAUCAUCAUCAAUCAGGUAUCCUUCUUUCUCUUGCUGUCUCUCGUUUUCCCUCGUAUUCCCUGGUUUUCUGGCACUUUCUUUCUUGCAUUCAAGAAUUGAAUUUGGGUUCGUAAGGCUUUGAAGAAGGUGUUGGAAGUAGUAGUUGCUUUGAUAUUCAACGUUUUGUUGUUGGACUUCUUCUUCAUGAAUCAGGUAUCCUUCUUUCUUUGUUAAUUGCUCUAAUUGGUUUCAAUUAAGUGGCGUUGAUUCAGAGAAGUCUUCAAGAAACUGAUAGUCUCUUUCACUUGGAGUAUCUGAUUCCACUUUCCUUCUCUUUCUUUCUCUGGAGAACUGAAAUGAGCUAGCAUUUUCUUUUCAAACAUUAGACCUUUUUUUUUUUAUCAUUUCAAAGCUGAUAAGUAUCUUUUUCAGCUCAUUGAAUAGGAUUUGGAAUCUGCAACUCACUUCCUUUUUUCUUUCCCUCUUUCUCUCUCCCUUUCUUUCUUUCCUUCUUUAUCAGCAUUGAUAUUGAAGAAGCUGAUACUUUGAUUAGGCAUUUUGUUCAAAAUUGCAAUGUCUACGCCAACAUCUGAAGCCUACGAGUGGUUCUGUUGUGGGGAUUGUGAUAACAAGCUUGCUCCUUUUAAUGGUCUCGUUAAGGUAUAUAUAUGUAUGCAUACCUCUGUACGUAUACAGGUGCAUAGUUUUAGUUAAAGUAAUAACAUACAUAUCUUAUUGUUCUUGUAGGAACUUGUUUCACAAUGCAAUAGCGAAAGUAGUUGGCUCCUCUUUCGUGAAAACGCGUAAGAUUAUGGAUUUUCACCAUUGUCACACAUGCAUAUAUUUAUGUGGACCUCUUUGUUUCUUAUUAAUUGCUGGAUUUCUGUAUGUGUUAGGGUUGGAAACAAGAAAUAAUAUUCAAUUAAUGCAUCUUUGGCACAUAGUUAAUUGUGUACAAAAAAUUUAUGGCAGUGGCUUGAAUGUGAAGUUUAAAGGAAGAAAGGCAAUUAAUCUACCUCCAGCUAGUAUUACGUCCAUUCAGGUUACAGAUGAAGGUCGGAUAUCUCAUACUGAUGUGGCCAAUAUCCACUGUUCUAAAUGUGAAGGUCAUGUUGGGUGGAAAAUUGUAAGAAUCAUCGUUCCCUUGUUGUGGAUUUUAUGUUUUAUAUAUGUACGUUAGCCUUGGAUAUAUAAUCUUAAGGUACAUAUUUUGGUGAUUUACAGAUUCACGAGCACAACGAUGACCCAAUAAUCCAUAAAGGUCAAUUCAUACUGCAUAAUUCUUUUGGGGGAGGCAGACUUUCUCUCAAGUUAUAAAAUGGAUGGACAAAAAUAUGGCAGAUGGAUCUACCAAUUAAUCAGAUUUCUGAUUCUGUUUGUUUUCCUAUCAUGGCUGUAGAUGUAGGUACCAAGUCCGAAUGGGAUGCUGCUGUUGAGAAGUGUUAUAAUUGAUUGGAUUCAUUUCUUUUCCUAUAGAAUUCUUCUAUCCAAUGUUGAGUGAAAAAUUGUGAUAGCUUUACUACUGUUCCAUUCAGUUUGCAUUUUGGAAUGAAUGUGUCCAUGAGAAACAUAUAAAAUUAUAGGGAUGCAUGGCUCAUCGUGCCAUGCUUUUCAAGACCAUCCAAACAAUUGCAUGGUCAAUUUGAGCAUGGUUUCAAGCCAAGUUGUGUAAGCUAAGGGCAUUGAAAAAAAUAGUUUCUAACCAAUCAAGGUAAUUGCCAACCUUUUUACCUCUAGGACAGUGAGAGAUAUGAGAUCUUUUAAGGCGAUGUAGGGUUUACAAGAGGUUUCAUUCAAGGAUUUAGUAGUAUUGUAGUAUAGUUAGACCAUUGUGCCAAUUAUUGGCUAAAUAUAAACCUAUUGAGUGGAUCAAUGAAUUCCGAGAGGUAUUUGUGAGGCUUAAGCCUUUGCUUAUAACCGCACCCAUCAUGUAGCCGGCAGACUAGUGUCGCCCUUUUGAGCUGACACUAGCAUUAAUUAAGCCAUAUGCAACCAUGCUUGGGCAAAAAGGGACAAGAAGCCUAUGUGAUCUUUUGUGCUAAUAAAGUUUGAGAUAAAACCUGUAUGAACUAUUCCACAAUGGAAAAAGAGCUCCUUGGAAUGUGAAUAAGUUUAAUCCCUAUCAUAUAAGUUCACUGAUUAUGGUGUUUCAUAUCUACCAUUUAGCCUUGAAGUAUUUCUAGCUAACAAAAAUACCAAGCAUAGGUUGAUUCGGUAGAUCUUUUUGUUACAAGAAAUUCAAUUGAUCAAUAAGCAUAAAGAAAUAUAAUGUGCUGGUUGAUCGUAUCUCAAGGUGAUGGUUUGAGGAGAAAGAAGAGUUAAUACUCAUAAAUUGACUCCUCAGAUGAGCAAUUACUAGUUUCCCAUGUAGAAUUUGUGCACAUUGUGAACCAUUUGGUAGUAGGCAAUGUCUCGAUGAAGUUCCAAAGAUUGAAAAAGUUUCUUUUUAAAAAUUAGGAAUUUCUAUGAGAUGAUCCGUAUGUCUUUAAAUGUUGCCUUGAUAAGAUUUUUACAAGGUGUAUACCAAAUGAGGAAGUGUCUAAUGUGUCCCUACCUUUUUUCAUAAGGAGACUUAUGGGGUCAUUUCUUUUCUAAUAAAACAGCUACUACAUUUUCAAUCUUUUGAAUAUGUUACCUAUCUAAGUAGGUUUUAUCCACUACUUUGGUCUUAAAAUUCAUUAAAGACAAUAUAUGUGCGAAGUUUGGUGUACCAAGGUGAUUAUUAAUAACACUAUGGGUCAUUUAAUUUUACACUAAGUUAUACCUUUUUUUUAAUAGUAAAAAAUUAUAAUAAAUGGUUAACUACAAGAUAUGGUAACAUAACACAAUUCUAUUAGUCACAAUAAGUUGACAGUAUGUAUUAGCUUUCAUGGAUUAUUAGGUGAUUAUCAUGCUCACCAAUCUAUAUAAAUCUGUCAAAAUAUAUGUACCUUAAGAUUGUAUAAUUAACACAAAUCUAUUAAUUACCUCCUUAUUAAUGUUCUUGCCUGUCUAGUAUUGAGAAUUUUGUCGAUGUAGUUAGACUUAACAUCUUUAUAUCUUGAAAACUUAGCGAAGAAUCAAGUGAUAGUAUUUCUACGCAAUUUCUUUAUAUUAUAAUUGAGUUGCCUAGCUUCAAAUGUGGUGAAGAGUGGUUCUUUUGAAAGUUGCAUUAUACCAAAAAUACCAAAUCAAAUUAUGGUUUUUUUUUAAAAAAAUUUGAAGGAAAAUGUAAGGAAAAAAAAUAAAAAAGGAAAGUGGAAUCAUCAACCAUUACCACCACCACCAUCAAGCAAGAUUGAAACUAUUAGUUCUUCACCCGUAGGACAAGAUCUAUACCCUGGUGGUAAAGAGUUAAAAACCAAGGAGUCUAAUUUAAAAAGAACGGGUACCGUUAAUAACUUACAGGUUUUAUUUAUUUAUUUAUUAUGAUCGGAUGGAAUUCGGUUAAUAUGUGCUUUGUUAUUUUUAAAAUUUAAAAUUUAAAAUUUUUAAUGAAAAUUUGUGCUUAUCUUAUAUAUAUAUAUAUAUUUUUUUUUUAAAAAAAAAAUUUCAUUUAAUUGUAUUAAUCUUAAUUUUCAUGGAAGUGGCCCAAUCGAAAUUGCUUGAAAAACAUUACCAUGAUAAAAAAAAUAACGAAAUUUAAGACUAACAAGAAUGAUCGUUGCACCCACUUAUGGCUGUUUAAUUUAUUUUUUUCCUAACUACAAUUUUAUUCCAUAAAAUAACUCUUACUUUAUUAAAAUAAAAAUAACCAACUCAUGUAGUAUGCUCAACAGCAAUCCACAGUAUAUGUAACAGGUGAUUCCUAACUGUUUUUCUCAAAAAUAAAAAAAUAAAAAAAACCAACUCUCCCUCCCUCUCAUUUUCUCUCCUGUUCCUCUACUUUCUUGGGAAAAUUUAUGGUGAUAGUCCUCCAACUGAAACUCAUCUUCACCUGGAAUAGAAUUGUUCUUCUUGAUGAAUAUCAGGUAUUCUCUCACUUCAAAUCUCCAGUUCCAAAGUAUGUGCAAACUGCAAGCCUCAUUAAUCAUCCUUCCUUUCUCAAUUUGUUAGCCCCGAAUCAAGAAACUAGCAGGUAUUUCUGGUUUCUCUCAUUCAACAAUUUUUUUCUAGUUCCAAUGGAAAUGCCCGAGGCUGACCUUCCACCAGAAAUUCGCGAAAACCGACACCCUCUCCCACCAGAAAUUCAAGAAAGCGAUAUUGAAGAGAUUUACAAUGCUAUUGAAUAUAUUCUUGAUCAAGAUCAAGAAGUUCUUGCUCAGAUGUUCACUUGUACGAAUUGCCAUACUGACUUAGCCAGCCCGAAUGAUUUCAUUGAGGUACUUGCUGUUUUCCCUAUAAUGAUUUACCUGUGAUUUAUACUGAUAUGGCUACUUUAUCCCCCAAGAUUUCAUGCUUUCGUUGCUACUUUUCCUAGGAUAUUUACCCAUUAGACGAUUCCCCCGUGCGCAGCUUACUCUUCAAUAACGUGUAAGUUCUUAUUUCUCAUCAUAGAAGUAUAGGAGUGCUGCUUUUUCUUGUUCAAGGUCACCACAUAAAUUUCUGAAGGCACUCUGGUUGAGAAGAAGGAAAUUAAAGCAUUCUUCUUAGCCAGUUAAUUUUCUUGAUUGGUUUUCAUUGGUUCUGUGAUUAAAACAUACUCACUUCUUUGGGUUUUGAUUGUUUAUAUGAACAGUAGGAAUGUGAACUUUGGAGGAGUACAAGACCGAGUUUCUACGCAUCUACAUCAAACUGAAGUGGUCGUGAGUCAUAUCCACUGUAAUUCAUGCCAAAGUUUUGUUGGGUGGAAAAUAGUAAGGACUGAUGGAACAUUGCCACCAGUAAGGAUUUAUCGAUCAAUCCCAUCUUACAAAUUAUUCUAUCUUCAUACAUUAGCAAGCUUUAAUCUUAGGGAUAUGAUGAAUAUCAGAUACAGGUUCACGGGUAUGGAGUCCACCCAGUAAUCCGCGCAGGCCAAGCCGUGCUGCUAGUUAUGACCGACGGAUGAUCUGUGCUUCUUUAAAGGAAAAAAGCUCCACUAUGCCAUAGAUGGCUGGUUCUGCUUUUAAGCUUGCGGAAACAAUGACAACAUACUCUGCAACUUUAGUAGGUUUCUGUAGAAUUCUUUGCUGUCUGAAUGAAAAAAAUUGUGAAUGUAAAUGAGUUUGGAUCUUCGUUUCUUCUUUGCAUCAGAUGCCAUCUAUGGCAUGGCUGACGGCUCCAAGGUUUUUCAAACUCAAAAUGCGUCAUUCAUAUGUGUUUUUAUGUGACUCAUACAUUGCCAUAUCGAUUUUCAAAAAGUAAACACAAUUAUGAUCUAAAAUUUAAGGUUUGUUUCAUUUCUCAUAGCAAAUCUAAAAUUUCAGUGCAUUGUGAUCAUCAUAUAUAGAAGAAAAAAAUGUUACAAUAUCUAUGUCUACAUUCUUUGAAUUUGAUAAAACUUAAUAUUUAUUAUUUAAUGACUUAAAUUGACUUUAAAUUAAAUUAUAUUUAAGUAAUCUACUUAAAACAUAUUACUUAAUUCUUAAAUUAAUUUUUAAGGUUGUUUGAUAAAAUUAACUUAAAAUUUAUUUUAAAUCAUCAAAUUAAUUGACAUAUUUAUCUUUAUAAAUUAUAAGUAGGGCAAAUGAGGUUGAUUAAUAAUGGAGGUCGUGGAGUAGCAAAAGAGAUUGUGGAGGUAAUUAGGGCAAAUGAUGAUAAAAAAAUAAAAUAAAGAUACAUACUUAAAAAUAAGUUAAUUGUUUUUACUUAUUACUUAAAACAUUCUUUUAACUUUAAGUCAUAUUAUUAAGUAAUUUUACCAAACAUACUUAAUCUACUUAUUAAGUCAUUUUAAGUUAUUAAGUUGGUUUAUCAAACACUUACUUCAGUUAUAAUCUAUAAUUUUUUUUUUAAAAGAAAGAAAUUCCAAUUCAUUCAUUUGAAGCAAGCAUCAAUUUAUUUCAUUUUAAUUUGGUAAAUUUGAUAAUUAAUCCAGACAACCAAGAUUAAUGUAUAAAAUAUAAUCUUAAAUAUUUUCAUGCAGUUCGUGAAAAAAAUGAAUUGAUGACGUGGAAAUAUAACAAGAAUCUGUUAAUUAAUAAGCAAGUAGGACUUAAUCAGCAGUAUACGUGUAUAUAACUAUCAUUUAUAAUUAACAGGGAGAAAAUGAGGGACAGCAAGAGAAUGUGACAGAGGGAGAGUUGCUUGUUUUUCUUGGAUCGGGAAUUAUGAUAGUUAUACUGCAGAUUGAUGAGGUUAUACUUGUUAAUUGACACAUUCUUGUUAGGGUUAUUUGAUUAAAAGGGCCAUCGAAAACCCAAUUUAGAAAUCUAAUCCUUCAUCCUUUUUUGGCCACGACAAUACAUUAUUUUCUUAUAAAAAUAAUCAUUUCUUUAAAACUACUUAUAUGCUUAAUGAUCAAAUGAAACUCCUGCAAUAAAAAAAGAUUAAGCUAAUCAACCUGUGUUUGGCAUUUUUGUUAGCCACCAAAUACUUCAAGGCUAAAUUGUAAGUAUUAAACACCAUAAUCAAUGAACCUAUAUGGUAGGCAUUAAACUUAUACAAAGUGAACAACACUUCUAUAAGCUCUUUUCCAUUGUGGAAUAGUUCAUUUAGCUACUAUAUCAGACUUUAUUAGAAUAGAAAAUCACAUGAGGCUUCUUAUUCUUUCUUUGUACAAGCAAUACUAGUUUGAUGGAUAUAUGAUAGGUGCGGUGACAAGCAAAGGCUUAAGCCUCUUAAAUGCCUUUUGGAAUCAUUGGUUUUCUAAAAAAAGAUUAUCUUUAGUCAAUAAUGGGCACAAUGGUCAAACAAUACCACUAAAUCCUUAAAUAAAUCUCCUAUAAACCUCACAUGUCCUAGAAAAGAUCUCACAUCUCUCACCAUCCCAGGGGUGGAAGGUUGGCAAGUAGUUUUACCUUAGACUAAUCAAUUUCAAAGCCCUUAUCUGACACAAAAGACAAAUUUCUAAUUGAGUACUAGUUAUUUUUCUUGAUACCUUGCCAAGAUUGGGAGGGUUAUGAGUAGUAUAUAUGAGAUUCAACAAUUGGCUUAUCGUUAUCUAAAUAAGUAGUUUAUUGUCCAUGAGAAUCAAUGAUGGAGUCUUAUUAAACAGCGGAAAUGGGUGUUGCUCACAAAGGGUGAAGUGCUAGAUGGAUGAUAAUGUAAAAUUGAAUUGUACAAGUGGCAUCAAAGUUGACAUCUUACUCGAGAGGUAUAUUUGGGCUUCACUUCUUGUGUAAUCACUUCCUCAAGCAGCACCCUACUUAUCACACGGGGCAUGAGGGGACUGAUCAUAGCCCUCCAAUGACCAUUGUAGAUCAUCUCAAAGUGUCAGUCUUAUACUAAAUAAUGAUGAAAUAUUACAAAAAAAAAAAAAAAAAAACUCUUUCCCUCUACUAUAUACUAAUUAGUCUUGUACUAAUCGUCAAGGAAAACAUGAUAUUAAAACUUAAUGGCACAUGAAUGAGCACAUGUUCAUUGAACAAUCAUUACAUUUGAUACUAGUUGAGAUCCAUCAUUAGAAGCCAAAGAAAAACAAGGGUAACUGUGAUGGUUGUAGUAGAAACAGAUUAUCAUAAGCUUCAAGUUCUACCUACGAAUGUUGAGCCCUAGAACCCAUAACAUUCUGCUAGCUACCUUGAACUCCAAAAUCAUAUGGUGGAAUCAACCUCUAGGCAAAAGUUGAUCAAUAUUUGCUGAUCAUGAAAACCCUUCUUUUGUUCUUAUUGAUAAUCACAAAUAUCAUUUAACUGAAUUUUGAAAGUACUGAAACUUUCAGGAGUGACAAUGAUCACGAUUUAAAAAAAAAAAAGAAAAUAUAAAAAAUAUGUUCAAAUAAUGAAAACCAUUAUAAAUCUUUGUGAUUGAUGACUAAAUAUUUCACAACACAUUGAAAAACUGUGCAUUGUAUAUGUAUUUAAUCUAUAUGUCAUAAAUUGCUAAAACUUUAAUGACAAAUAUAAUCCUAUAAUAACAUCUAAUACACUCAUAUAUAACAACACUACUAAGUCCAGAAAACCCACAAUAUAUAACUACUAGUCUACUACUAUAGCUGUCGAUUAUUGUUUCUUCCAUGCAGCAAACGACGGUCGUAGUUGCCAUUCAUGUUUGAAGACAUUGGUACAGCAUCGUUGCCAUAAUUAAUCAUCGGACAUAUACCCGGGUUUCCAUAAUCAAUUGAAUCAAACCCAGGGACGUUGCCAAAAUCAAUAUUAUUCCCUGCAUCAAAGCUGCUGUUGCCAAUGGCGCCAUUCAUUCUAUCGAAGUAAUCUAGACCCUGACCAAUAGAGUGUAUAGGCUGAUGAAGUGGCAUGAAGACACUAGGGUCCAGGAUAGGGAAUUGGGUGUUGUUUUGCAGAGCAAAAUUAUCCUGUUCUUGAGGGGUUUGGAAUAUUUCAGUUUUGGGCUGUGGCUGUUGGGUUUGGAGAGGCAUCUGGCUGCUAUUAUAAUAGCUAGCACUGCUCCUCAUAUGGAUCAGCAUAACUUAUUAUUUGGUUCAGCUCCUGACCUGUGCCUUGCGUGAAAAGCCUUGUUUGACCCCAUUUUGCUCCAUUCCACCAGAUUCAACCUUCACAGGGUGAGGAGGCUCAGGCUCGGGCUCUGGUGCAUGGGUUGAUGAUCUUCUUCUAAGGGGUUUGUUAGGUUGCUUAUAAAUUUUGCUUAACACAAUGUCCAACUGAUACAAAUAGGAAGAGUUAUCAAAAGAUGAAUGAAGGUUUUGGGAAUAAUAGUAUAAAACCGUAAAGAUGAAAAGGCUUCAUACCCUCAUGGUAUUUGCACUAGGGCUUCUUGGGGGUUCCUUGCCUCUAAACUCAUACAUGAUCCAAUUGGUUUUCUCCCCCUUUGGUGUCUUUCCCCUGCAGAAAACCAACACCUUUCUGUACCCAAUGGUUUGAUCCUCACAUUUGAUAGCCUUAUCACCCCCAAUGGCCUUCCAGUAUCCCUUGCCAGCCCUCCUGCUGGGUCGCAUCCCAUUUGGAUACUUUCUGUCUCUUGGUGUAAAGAAGAACCAUGCGGCAAUCUCAUCAUUAUAGUUCCCGCAUGGAGGAAACAACGCUGAGAAUGAUAUUUGAAAGGAGAGGAAAGACUAGUUAUUGCUAGCUCUGAAUGAGACCAGCCAGAUAAUUCAGACACAUCAACCAUCAAGAAACAAGAAAAAAAAAAACCCAGUUCUGAUCAUGUUGCAAGAUCAUCACAGGGAAGCAUCAAGAAAAAGAAAAGAAGCGAAUAUAAAUAUGAAUAUGAAUAGAAAAAAGAAAAAAAAAACGAAACAGUUCUGAUCAUGUUGCAAGAUCAUCACAGUUUAGAAAUUUCACCUGUAAGAUCCUCUGGAUCAUACUGAUAGAGAUCAACUUCCACGAUCCUGUUAAUGGGCAAUGGCUUGUUUUCAAUCUUGGGCCUCAAGUAAUACAAGAUGACCUCUUCAUCAGUAGGGGAGAACUUGUAGCCAGGAGGCAUAGAAUUCAGGAACUCAUCUUUGUUUUUGAAUCUAUAAUCCAGAAUGCGUAUUUCUUCUUCUGCUUCUUCUAGCUUUGGAAUUCUAAAGCCACCAACAGGCACUUGCGUACUACCCACCAUCUCCCUCUGUGUGUUUAUGAAGUCCAUCUCAAAGAGGUGUUUCCUAUUUUUAUAUAGUUUUUUUUUCUUUUUUAUUUUUCUGUUUUAUGAUAAAUUACAUAGAGUUUUAGUAGCCUUUUAACUCCAUCUUAUCUUAGUAUUUUUAUUUGACUCCAACUCCAAGUCCUUUGUAGGCUUUUAACACUCCAACUCCAAGUCCUUCAACUAUAACUUAAAAUGCUUCUAAGAGUUUGCAUUAAAGUAAAGAAUCGUUGGUGCUUUUUGAAGUUAACAAUUACCGUCCAUUGCAGUCAAAUAAAUGAAUCUGAAAAUCUUCUAAAACUAAUUAAAAAGACAUGCAGGAUGAUUAUAAAGCCUUUAGGAUGUGGUUAAAUUAACCCCAUGAUGAAUAUGAAUGAAUAUAAUUUUCUUUAAGACACACUGGCUAACUUAAAGAUUUACUUUUUAAUUAAUUGAAGUGAUGAUUUGUCUCUUGUUAAAAUGAUGAGUUUUUCAAUUUAUUUAUUUUUCUAAGUAGAGAAUAUUUUUUCCUUUCAGAGACACAUUGGUUCCAAAAUGAAAACUGAAUGGAAGAGAAGUAAAUCUAGUAUUGCAUUUCAGGUUUUGAGUUUGAGUUGCAUCACUUGGUUAUGGGAAAAGAAACGAAUGUCAAAUCUUGUCUACGUACAGCCAUGAUAGCAAGGAACACAAACAGAAUCAGAAAUUUCAGCCAUGUUUUCUUCCUUGUGUUUUAUGGCAUGGAGCGAAUAUCUGACUCUCCCAGCUAUCCUGAUAAAAACUCUGCAGUAUGAAUUGGCCUUUAUGGACUACUGGGUGAUUGUUGCGCUCACGAAUCUGUAUAUCACCAUCCAAUGCUAUUUAAUGUACAUAUAUAUAAUAAAAGUAAAACACAAAAUCCACAUGACCUUCAUCGAAUCCUUACUAUUUUCCAUCCAACAUGACCUUCACAAUUAGCACAGUGGAUAUCUGCCAUAUCAGUUUGAGUGCUCCGACCUGCAUCUCUAACCUGAAUGGAUGUCACACUGGCUGGCGCUUCAGUAAUUGCCCUUCUUCCAUCAAACCUCACAUUCAAGCCACUGCCAUAGAUUUUAUGUACACAAUUAGCUAUGUGCCAAUUAGAUGUAUUAAUCGAAUUCUAUGUCUUGUUUCCAACCCUAACACACAGAAAUUCAGAAAUUAACAAGAAACAAAAUCUUACGCAUUGUCGCGAAAGAGGAGCCAACGACUCUUGCUAUUGCGAUGUGAAACAAGUUCCUACGAGACAAUAAACUUUAACUAAAACUAUGCACAUGUAUAUGUACAGAAGGAGAGAGAAAAAUAGAUACACAUACAUAUACCUUAACGAGACCAUUAAAAGGAACAAGGUUGUUAUCGCAAUCCCCACAACAGAACCAUACGUCGGAUGUUGAUGACGACAUUGCAAUCUUGAGCAAAAUGCCUAAUCCAUGUGAAUCAUAGUAUCAGCUUCUUCAAUAUCAAUGCCGAUAAAGCAAGAAAGAAAGAGAAAAGGAAGUGGAAUCAGAAAUGAAGGCUUCUCUGAAACAACACCCCUUAAUUAAAUUCCAUGAGAGAGAUUAACAGAGAAAGAAGGAUACCUGAUUGAUGAUGAUGAAGAAGAAGAACAACAACAAAACGUUGAAUCUUUCUUCAAAGUUAUACGUACCCAACUUCAAUUCUCAAAAGAAAGUGAGAGAAAAUGAGGGAAAAUAAGAGAAAGCGAGAGAAUGUGAGAGGAGUUGGUUGUUUUCUUGGAGAAACAGUUUUGAAUCUGAUAACAGAUUCCGGUUAUAUAUAUUCCACGUCAUCAAUCAAUUCCUGUAAAUUUUUAUUAAUAAAAAUAAAAAGAAAUAAUUUGUACCUUACAUUAGAUUUAUCAAACUUAUCAAAUUAAAAUGAUUCUUGCUUUGAAUGAAUUUUUGGAAAUUUUCAAUUUUUUUUAAUAAAAAGAUUAUUUAUAUACUUUACAUUUAAAAAAAAAUUAUUUAGCUUAUAAAAGUUUAUAGUAUGUUUUAUAAUUAAAAAACCUUAUUAUAAAAACAAAAAUAAAGUUAUUUUUAGUUAAUUAAAAAUUUUAAAAUAUCAUAAUUACGUUUGAUAAAAUAUUUUAAAGAUAAUAUGUAGAUAUAAAAUUGAAGAUGGAAACUUGUAUCUACAUAAAAGAUGCGUACAUUUGUAUAAUAUAUACCAUGGUAUGGCGUAGAUUUCUUUGAACUCUUUCAAUGGAUUUCUAUAUCAUAGAAAUUACUUAUAUUUAUUAUUCUAUAUCUCCUAUUAAAUUAUGAUGUUAUGCCAUAGAAGAGCUUAGCAAACACUAAAAGCAAAAACUUUAAGUUUUAAGUUUUGAAGAAAUACAGAGAGAAUUAGAUUUUUAAUUAAUUAGAAAAUUUAAAAUUAUUAUAAUUAUUUUUAGUAAAAAUGUUUUUAAAAUAACAUCCAAUUACACAAUUAUCUAUAACAAGACUAAUCAUAAGAUAACUAAAUUUAUAUUGUCUUAGGUUAUGUAUGAUUCCGAAAAGUAUUAAGGAAAGAAAAAAAAAGGUUAGGAAAAUGGUAUUUUUGUAUUUGGUUUCAUCAUAAGAAAUAUAGAAGAAAAUCAAACAUAAUUAAAAUUUGUCAAAAAUAUAUAUGUUUUUAAAUUAUUUAAUAUUUAUAUAGUGGAGAAAAAUAAAGAAGAAUUAUUUAGUUUAAAUCUAUUUUUUAUUUUCCUUUACAUUUUAUCUCUAUUUUCUUUCUCUCACAUUUUUCAGAGAACCAAACAUAACCUUAGAGUUUUUUGAAUCAUGGUAAUAUUUCUCUAUGAAAAUUAAGAUCAAUACAAUUAAAUAAAAUUUUUAAAAAAUAAAAAGAAAGAAAAAAUAUUAGAUAAGCACAAAUUUAAAAAAUAUAUAACAAGAUAAACCAAUCAUAAAAAUAACCAAAAAAAAAAAAAAUCUGUUAGUUACCAUUUCAAACUAGACACUUCCUUGAUCUUAAUUCUUUACUAGCAGCUUAAUCACUUGAUCUUAAUUCUUGACGUGGAGUUGAUAGUUUAUUACUUGACGUGGAGUUGCUCGGUGGGAAUGGCUGAUGAUGAACCUUCUAUUUUAUAAAUCUUUAAGAUAUAUAUAUACGUAGAAGAUACAUAAGAUAUUACUUAGUUUUUGGGCUCAAAAUUGUAUAUGUAUUUAAUCUAUAUGUCAUAAAUUGCUAUAACAUCAAUGACAAAUAUAAUCCCAUACCAACAUUCAUAUAACAACACUACUAAGUCCAGAAAACCCAGCAUAUAUAACUACUACUAUAGCUGCCGGCCGUAGUUGCCAUUCAUGUUUGAAGACAUCGGACAUAAACCCGGGUUUCCAUAAUCAGUUGAAUCGAGCCCAGGGACGUUGCCGAACACAAUAGAUGCAUCCAAGUCAGGGACAUUGCCAAAAUCAAUAUUAUUCCCUGCAUCAAAGCUGCUGUUGCCAAAGGCGCCAUUGAUUAUAUCGAAGUUAUCUAGACCCUGACCUCCAAAUUCAUUCCCUAUAGAGUGUAUAGGCUGAUGAAGAGUGGGAAAUGGCAUGAAGACACUAGGGUCCAGGAUAGGGAAUUGGGUGUUGCUUUGCAGAGCAAAAUUAUCAUGUUCUUGAGGGGUUUGGAAUAUUUCAGUUGUGGGCUGUGGCUGUUGGGUUUGGAGAGGCAUCUGGCUGCUAUUAUAAUAGCACUGCUCCUCGUAUGGAUCGGCAUAACUUAUUAUUUGGUUCAGCUCCUGACCUGUGCCUUGUGUGAAAAGCCUUGUUUGAUCCCCAUUUUGCUCCAUUCCACCAGCUUCAACCUUCACUGGUUGAGGAGGCUCAGGCUCGGACUCUGGUACAUGGGUUGAUGAUCUUCUUGUAAGGGGUUUGUUAGGUUGCUUAUAAAUUUUGCUUAACACAAUGUCCAACUGAAAUACAAAUAGGAAGAGUUAUUAAAAGAUGAAUGAAGGUUUUGGGAAUAAUAGUAUAAAAUCGUAAAGAUGAGAAGGCUUCAUACCCUCAUGGUAUUUGCACUAGGGCUUCUUGGGGGUUCCUUGCCUCUAAACUCAUACAUGAUCCAAUUGGUUUUCUCCCCCUUUGGUGCAUUUCCCCUGCAGAAAACCAACACCUUUCUGUACCCAAUGGUUUGAUUCUCGCAUUUGACAGCCUUAUCACCCCCAAUGGCCUUCCAAUAUCCCUUGCCAGCCCUUCUGCUGGGUCGCAUCCCAUUUGGAUACUUUCUGUCUCUUGGUGUAAAGAAGAACCAUUGGUCAAUCCCAUCUUUGUGGUUCCCGCAUGGAGGAAACAGCGCUGAGACACAUCAAGCAUCAAGAAACAAGAAAACAAACCCAGUUCUGAUCAUGUUGCAAGAUCAUCACAGCAAAGCAUCAAGAAAAAGAAAAGAAGCGAAUAUAAAUAUGAAUAUGCAUGGUAGAACAAAAAAAAAAAAAAAAAUUAUCACAGUUCAGAAAUUUCACCUGUAAGAUCCUCAGGAUCAUACUGAUAGAUAUUGACUUCCAUGAUCCCGUUAAUGGGCAAUGGCUUGUUUUCAAUCUUGGGCCUCAAGAAAUAUAAGAUGGCCUCUUCAUCAGUAGGGGAGAACCUGUAGCCAGGAGGCAUAGAAUUCAGGAACUCAUCUUUGUUCUUGAAUCUGUAAUCCAGAAUGCGUAUUUCUUCUUCUUUUUCUUCUUCUGGCUUUGGAAUUCUAGAACCACCAACAGGCACUUGCGUACCACCCACCAUCUCCCUCUGUGUGUUUAUGAAUUUCAGAGAGAGCUUUCCUAUUUUUAUAUAGUUUUUUAUUUUUUUUAUUUUUAUUUUUAUUUUUUUCAGUUUUAUGAUAAAUUUAAAAAAUAAAUUAAAUUAAGUGUUUGUAGGCAUUUUAACUUCGUCUUAUCUUAUUUUUAUUUGACUCCAACUCCAAGUCCAACUAUAACUUAAAGUGGACAUCCAUGUGGUUUAACUACUUUUUAAAUUUUAAAUUUUUAAUGAAAAUUUGUGCUUAUCCUCUAUCUUUUUCUUUUUUUUUUAGUUUUUUUUUAAUUGCAUUAAUCUUAAUUUAAAUUUUCAUUAAAAUUUAAAUUUUUAAUUUUAAAAAACAAGAUACACAUCAUAUCUGAUUAACUGAAUUCCAACCAAUCGUAAAAAUAACCAAAAAGAAAAAAAAAAUCUGUACUUACCAGCAAUACGUUUCAAAUUAGACUCCUCCUUGACCUCAAAUCAUAGUAGUACUACGUAUUAUAUUUUUCCCAAAAUGAGACGACAGAGUAGAGAAAACUCAGGGAAAUAGACCAGAAAGAGGAGAAAACUCAAACUCAGGCUCACUCUCAAUCUCAAAAAAAAUGAAUCUUUCAGAACUUAGUGAGGAUGCAAGUCUACAAACAGUAGAGGGAAAAGCAGAAGUGCAGAAUAGUAGUAGCGAAGGUGGAGAGCUUUUUUAUCUUAAUUCUUUACCACCAGGAUACAGAUUUUAUCCCACAGAUGCAGAGAUUAUAGUUUUCUACUUGAGGAAGAAGAUUGAUCAUCAGUCAUUGCCACCGAACAAGAUAAUAGAAGUCAAUCUUUAUGGUUAUGAUCCUGAUGAACUUGCAGGUUACUUAUUUCUAUAUUCAAGUUCAAUUGCUUCUUUAUAUAUCCUUUAGUACUUGUGCUCUUUUGCUUAUAAUUAAUAAUGAUAUCGUGAAUGAGUAUUGAAUGAGAUGUAACAUGGGCGGUCAUUUCUUUUUGGCUAUUGAAGUUAAAUGGUUUGCAAAGAUGUUUUGAAUUAGGGUUUUACUUCUCUUUAGUAUUAUUGACAUAUGUGAUCAAUUGAUUUUUAUUUUGAUUGAUUUUACUCAGUGAGAUACGAGCCAUCCGGGAAUGAUGAAUGGUUCUAUUUCACUCCAAGGGAAAGGAAAUAUCGGAAUGGGCAACGUCCCAAUAGGUCAAUUGGAGAAGGAUACUGGAAGGCCACCGGAGCUGAAAAAGAGAUCAAAUUUGAGGAUCGAACGGUGGGGUAUCGGAAAGCUUUAGUCUUCUACCGAGGAAGCCCUCAAAACGGAGUCAAAACCAACUGGAUCAUGCAUGAAUUCACAGUUGCUAAACCUACAGGGCCUCCAAGAAGAAGUGGUGCCAAUGAUAUGAGGGUAUAUAUUAAGUCCUCUUUUCAUUUAUUUUAUAUUGCAUGUUAAGACACUUGUGCAGAUUAAUAUGUAUCAUAAUGUUUCUUGUUUGUUUGUUUGUUUGUUUUUGUUGCAGUUGGAUGACUGUGUUCUGUGCAGAGUCUGUAGGACAGACGAAAGGAUCUACAAAAGAUCACGGCAUGCGUCUAGGCUUGAUGAAUCAGGCUCAUCAAGCUCUAAGAUUCCGAGACUUGACCUUAACCCUAAUCCUAAUGAGGUCAAUAAUCCAUAUGAGGAGCAGUACUAUUAUAAUAGCAUCCAGAUGCCUCUCCAAGCCCAACAGCAACAACCUAGAACUGAAAUAUUCCAAGCCCC
rnacentral:lncRNA from 1 species